rnacentral:rRNA from 1 species
CGAGUGGCGGACGGGUGAGUAACGCGUGGGAAUCUGCCUUAUAGUGGGGGAUAGCCCGGAGAAAUCCGGAUUAAUACCGCAUACGCCCUACGGGGGAAAGCUGGGGAUCUUCGGACCUGGCGCUAUUAGAUGAGCCCGCGUUAGAUUAGCUAGUUGGUGGGGUAACGGCCUACCAAGGCGACGAUCUAUAGCUGGUCUGAGAGGACGAUCAGCCACACUGGGACUGAGACACGGCCCAG